UACGGAGGGUGCGAGCGUUGUCCGGAAUCACUGGGCGUAAAGGGCGCGUAGGCGGCGCGAGUAGUCAACGGUGAAAGCCCGGGGCUCAACCCCGGGUCGGCCGUCGAUACUCUCGUGCUUGAGCACUGUAGAGGCAGGUGGAAUUCCGGGUGUAGCGGUGGAAUGCGUAGAGAUCCGGAAGAACACCGGUGGCGAAGGCGGCCCGCUGGGCAGUGGCUGACGCUGAGGCGCGACAGCGUGGGGAGCAAACAGG
rnacentral:rRNA from 1 species